rnacentral:rRNA from 1 species
GUUGCAGGGUAUAGACCCGAAACCCGGUGAUCUAGCCAUGGGCAGGUUGAAGGUUGGGUAACACUAACUGGAGGACCGAACCGACUAAUGUUGAAAAAUUAGCGGAUGACUUGUGGCUGGGGGUGAAAGGCCAAUCAAACCGGGAGAUAGCUGGUUCUCCCCGAAAGCUAUUUAGGUAGCGCCUCGUGAAUUCAUCUCCGGGGGUAGAGCACUGUUUCGGCAAGGGGGUCAUCCCGACUUACCAACCCGAUGCAAACUGCGAAUACCGGAGAAUGUUAUCACGGGAGACACACGGCGGGUGCUAACGUCCGUCGUGAAGAGGGAAACAACCCAGACCGCCAGCUAAGGUCCCAAAGUCAUGGUUAAGUGGGAAACGAUGUGGGAAGGCCCAGACAGCCAGGAUGUUGGCUUAGAAGCAGCCAUCAUUUAAAGAAAGCGUAAUAGCUCACUGGUCGAGUCGGCCUGCGCGGAAGAUGUAACGGGGCUAAACCAUGCACCGAAGCUGCGGCAGCGACGCUUAUGCGUUGUUGGGUAGGGGAGCGUUCUGUAAGCCUGCGAAGGUGUACUGUGAGGUAUGCUGGAGGUAUCAGAAGUGCGAAUGCUGACAUAAGUAACGAUAAAGCGGGUGAAAAGCCCGCUCGCCGGAAGACCAAGGGUUCCUGUCCAACGUUAAUCGGGGCAGGGUGAGUCGACCCCUAAGGCGAGGCCGAAAGGCGUAGUCGAUGGGAAACAGGUUAAUAUUCCUGUACUUGGUGUUACUGCGAAGGGGGGACGGAGAAGGCUAUGUUGGCCGGGCGACGGUUGUCCCGGUUUAAGCGUGUAGGCUGGUUUUCCAGGCAAAUCCGGAAAAUCAAGGCUGAGGCGUGAUGAC